AGAGCGAACGCUGGCGGCAGGCUUAACACAUGCAAGUCGAGCGCCCCGCAAGGGGAGCGGCAGACGGGAGAGUAACACGUGGGAACGUACCUUUCGGUUCGGAACAACCCAGGGAAACUUGGGCUAAUACCGGAUACGUCCGUAAGGAGAAAGAUUUAUCGCCGAAAGAUCGGCCCGCGUCUGAUUAGCUAGUUGGUGAGGUAACGGCUCACCAAGGCGACGAUCAGUAGCUGGUCUGAGAGGAUGAUCAGCCUCACUGGGACUGAGACACGGCCCAGACUCCUACGGGAGGCAGCAGUGGGGAAUAUUGGACAAUGGGCGCAAGCCUGAUCCAGCCAUGCCGCGUGAGUGAUGAAGGCCCUAGGGUUGUAAAGCUCUUUGUGCGGGAAGAUAAUGACGGUACCGCAAGAAUAAGCCCCGGCUAACUUCGUGCCAGCAGCCGC
rnacentral:rRNA from 1 species